UUUUUUUUUUUUUUUUUUUUUUCCUUUUUUUCCUACAUC
rnacentral:ribozyme from 1 species